ensembl:lncRNA
AAAAAAGCAUCAUCUCAAAAAAGUUCCGAGUAUCUAAUGGAGAGUGAUGACAUUUCAAAAAGUAUACAAAAAAGAACAGAGAAUCCAUGUUGGGAUAUCUAAACUCUCCAAAAUGAAAGCUCCUCAGGAAGCCAUUUCUAAAGAAUUGGAGGAAUAUAAGCAACUCCUUCUAGAGGGAUUUGAAGAUUUGAGAAGAAAACAAGAUGAGAUCAUUCAGGUUGCAAAAGCUUUUUCAAAGCAAGUGAAUGAAGCUAAUGAAGUGUUAGCAGAGUUCAGAACUAAAAAUUUUCUCCUGGAGAAACAACAGACUGGAACAUUAACCAAGUCUGUUUCUACGCAAACUGUUUCUACGCAAACUUCGGUAGUGUCACAUAGCGUUGGAAAUCGUGCUAAUAGUUUCUGGCUCAGCAGAGAUCUUACUCCACAACAAAACUUGGAGACUCCUACUUCAGCAACUCAGGCUUCACAUCACAACACUGCAGAGUCUUUGGACACGUUUGCCCUUCAGGAUCUUGACACCUCAACUUUAUGGGAAAGAUGUUUUCAGAUCAUUGAAAAAUGUAGGAGUCAACAAUAUUUGCCUUCAUGCCAGAAUAAAGAAGUUUGGUGUCUUCUGCUUUUGAAAUGCUUUGGCUCAGCUUCCACAACAGACCUGAGUGUGAAGGAUCGAAUUGCAGCCAAGCCAGGUGAUUCCACUCCCCAUGCAAGACUCUACACACCAGAAGCCCUCAGACUCCUGCCUGGUCCUUUCUUGCCCACUUCAAUGAUUUCAAUGACCCAUUGUAAUGGUUCUGGCUCCAAGUGUAUCUUCUCCAGCCUAGGGGUUGCUCUUGAGCUUCAGUGAUAUGGAUUCAUCUCCAGCUGAUCAAAUUUGUUCUAAGCUUGUCAUCUCCUUAUAUGUCACCUCCUUAUAUAAGGUUUGUAUAUUUUCUGUUUCAUGUCACUCCCAUCUGCCCCACUGAGUAAUCAAAUACAAAACACAACACAACUUGUUUUUCCCUGCCAGUAUUAUUUCACACCUAAACAAUAAUCAAGACUCAUCAGUUUCCUUCCUAAAUUACUUUCUUCUUGAUGUUGAGCUAUAACUCCUACACCAUAUAAUUCACCCAUUUAGGAAUCGCAGGCAGUAGUCCUGGGGCAGGUAUGCAUGCUCAUAGCUCCUUCGCAGAGAUCAACUGUGAUGGGAGCGCUCUCCAGUGAGAGCACAUGGUGGGGCAGGGCAGGAGAGAGUGGCCCCCUGGAGGACAUUGGUGCUUAGGCCUGGGGGAGCUGAAGAGUUUGGCUUUUCUUUUUUUCUUCUUUUUCUUUUUUUUCUUUUUUCUUUUUUGAUAGGCAGAAUGGACAGUGAGAGAGAGAGAGACAGAGAAAAAGGUCUUCCUUUGCCAUUGGUUCACCCUCCAAUGGCCACCGUGGCCGGCGCACCACACUGAUCCAAUGGCAGGAGCCAGGUGCUUCUCCUGGUCUCCCAAGGGGUGCAGGGCCCAAGCACUUGGGCCAUCCUCCACUGCACUUCCUGGCCACAGCAGAGAGCUGGCCUGGAAGAGAGGCAACUGGGAAAGAACCCGGCACCCCGACCUGAACUAGAACCCGGUGUGCCAGUGCCACAAGGCAGAGGAUUAGCCUAUUGAGCCGCGGCACCGGCCAUCUUUUUACACAUUUUAAGAGCAACUUUUCUAACAAACAAAACUAUAAUUGAUCAAGUUAUGUAAAUAAAGAUUUUAAAGAUGAUUUAUUUAUCUACUUG